AAGCUGAGUAUCUUGUACUGAAUACAUAGGUGCAAGAGGCGAACCAGGGGAACUGAAACAUCUAAGUACCCUGAGGAAUAGAAAUCAACCGAGAUUCCCUUAGUAGUGGCGAGCGAACGGGGACCAGCCCUUAAGUUGGUUUGAGAUUAGUGGAACGCUCUGGAAAGUGCGGCCAUAGUGGGUGAUAGCCCCGUACACGAAAAUCUCUUAUCAAUGAAAUCGAGUAGGACGGAGCACGAGAAACUUUGUCUGAAUAUGGGGGGACCAUCCUCCAAGGCUAAAUACUACUGACUGACCGAUAGUGAACCAGUACCGUGAGGGAAAGGCGAAAAGAACCCCGGAGAGGGGAGUGAAAUAGAACCUGAAACCGUAUGCGUACAAGCAGUGGGAGCCUACUUUGUUAGGUGACUGCGUACCUUUUGUAUAAUGGGUCAGCGACUUAUAUUCAGUGGCGAGCUUAACCGAAUAGGGGAGGCGUAGCGAAAGCGAGUCUUAAUAGGGCGUUUAGUCGCUGGGUAUAGACCCGAAACCGGGCGAUCUAUCCAUGGGCAGGUUGAAGGUUAGGUAACACUGACUGGAGGACCGAACCGACUACCGUUGAAAAGUUAGCGGAUGACCUGUGGAUCGGAGUGAAAGGCUAAUCAAGCUCGGAGAUAGCUGGUUCUCCUCGAAAGCUAUUUAGGUAGCGCCUCAUGUAUCACUCCAGGGGGUAGAGCACUGUUUCGGCUAGGGGGUCAUCCCGACUUACCAAACCGAUGCAAACUCCGAAUACCUGGAAGUGCCGAGCAUGGGAGACACACGGCGGGUGCUAACGUCCGUCGUGAAAAGGGAAACAACCCAGACCGUCAGCUAAGGUCCCAAAGUCAUGGUUAAGUGGGAAACGAUGUGGGAAGGCUUAGACAGCUAGGAGGUUGGCUUAGAAGCAGCCAUCCUUUAAAGAAAGCGUAAUAGCUCACUAGUCGAGUCGGCCUGCGCGGAAGAUGUAACGGGGCUCAAACCAUGCACCGAAGCUACGGGUAUCAUCUUA
rnacentral:rRNA from 1 species